rnacentral:rRNA from 1 species
UACGAAGGGUGCAAACGUUGCUCGGAAUUAUUGGGCGUAAAGCGCACGUAGGCGGCUUUGAAAGUCGGAUGUGAAAUCCCUCGGCUCAACCAAGGAAGUGCAUCCGAAACUGCAGAGCUUGAGUACCAAAGAGGAUCGCGGAAUUCCCGGUGUAGAGGUGAAAUUCGUAGAUAUCGGGAGGAACACCAGUGGCGAAGGCGGCGAUCUGGGUGGAUACUGACGCUGAGGUGCGAAAGCGUGGGGAGCAAACAGG